UGCAGGAGAGAACAAGAAAGACUAUUUAGUGAAGUAGGCUAAUGGUGUUGCAGAGGAAAGGGGCUGAUUUUCACAUCUCAGAACUGUUAAGCCUGCAAAUAUUACUGAAAUCACAUCUGGGAACAAAGCUCUGCUUUAACACACCCAGCACAAAGAGAGGUGCUGCAUCCUGGAGCACGGGCACAAGCAUUUGAGCACCAGAACUGCCAACAUCUGUCUCUGGAUUUAACAGCAAGGAAUGAGAGAAGAAGAAAUCUUCCCUAUCAGCAGCAGCAGGGGUUGCUGCAGCAAGAUGAUAAUUCCCUCCUGCUACUCUGCUGACAAGCACCAAGCUGCACAGGAAGAGCAAAGCAUUUUAAUCACUGGAUUGAAAAAUGCAGCAGUUCCUAAAGCUUCACCUUACCUGGGCUGAUUUACAUUCAUUUAGGAUCAACUGGCUUUCAGAGGAAUAAUGCUAUCUAUGCAAGAUAACAGAGGAGGGAAAAUUUGGUGGAACUUUUAGUUUCCCUGUGCAUAACAUGCAAAGAUCUAUGUAUAUAAACAGUUUUGGAGCAUCUUAGAUAAGCAAGGACUAUUGAAUUCCUUAAAAGCACAGUGCAAACUUGAGGGCUCCCUAAUUCCAUACGAAAUGUUUUUUAAGUGCCACACUUUCAAAUACACACCAUUAAAAGGAUAAAAAAUACAUUAGCAACUGGCAAGUCGGGGUCCAAUCCAGCGUCCAUUGGACCCAUCAGAAAUCCUGUAACCGAGGCCUCAAGGUUUUGGCUCUGGCUCUUUCAUCAGAUUAUCAUUUAUAACAAAGGCACUCCAUAAGGAGCUGCUAAGACAAAUGCAAAUCUUGUGUCAAAGACAGACAGACACCCCCCAAAAUUAAAAAUUUGAGCACACAGCAGCUUACAGGCAGCAGCUUUGGGCAUGUGGCACAACAUCUGCUACAAAAACACUAGAAAGCAGACCUGCAGCAAACUGGAGCAGUGCCAGCUCUCAGAUUAUCCCCCCUCCAAGGCUGCCAAGGCAAUGGACAGAUGGCAGCCAAUGCACUCACAGGAUAGUUAGCUCAGUUAACAAUCAAGUAUGCUAAAUGAUUUCAGAUUCACUCUGCACCAAGCAUUGUACUUUCCAGUGAACCAUUAACACUGUGUCCUAAUAGAAAUAUGGUUUGGUAUGAAGGAACUGGCAGAUCCUGUAUUUUACAAGACAGUUUCUCUGGAACAAUUUGUCAGGGAACAUUAGAUCUGCCUUCAUGAAUAAAGUGAGAAUCUGCCAAGUUUGCCAGGCGGGUUUGUUCAUAAUUUUAAUUCUGCAGUGUUUGAAGAGUGAGGGUGGAAACAAACAGGAAGAUGCAGGUCAGUUAUCCCCACAAGCUGCUCCCAGGGAUGCACUCAGUGGAAAGGAGGAGGGGUGUUAGGAGCACACAGUAUCUCACAUCACAGCAGCUGUGCCCCUGCAGUGCUGCCUGCCUGCUGUAGGGCAUCACACAGCUCUCCUGGACUGGGCAGCUAUCACAAGCAGCCUGCUGGGUGACACACUUGUGACCUGAGUGCACAGAUGUGACAACUCAUCCCAGAAAAGCUAAUGGUUCUUGGGUUUACAUGGGUAAAAUCUGUAGAGAAAAUCUGGCCCUCAUUCAUCAAAGGGGGCAAAUAACUCAGUACUGAGCUCUAGCACAUAUAGAUGGGCUUUUGGCCUCAGCAUUACAAGAUACAUCUUUAAAUUCUUCCUCCUAAUCCUCCUUAGAUAUGAUUGCCUUAAAGGACAUUUUUAGAUCUAGAGACAAAUUUAUUCUAUUGACUUACUUUUCCAUAAAUCAGCAGGGCAAGAAUAGUAUUUGAAAAAAACUGUUGGUUUCUUCUCCCACCUCCACCCUCUGCUCCUGUUGUGUAUCCCUUUUAUCUGUCCACCCAAAAUCCCAGGUAGCUAAAUAGCUGGUCAAAAGUGCAAUAGAAUUUAUUUAUUACAUAUUUGGCCCCCAUGACCAUUUUAUUCAUCAUUGUUGCACCUAAUAAAUACCCUGAGAAAAUACACACCCCCAGGUCUUUUCUGCCUGCAUUGGAAAAAAUCCUUCAGCAGAAAGCAGGGGAGAAAUCCAAGAAAAACAAGUGGAAAAAUAGAAGGACAAGGAAGAGAGAGAACUUAGUUAGCUCUGUUGAAGGAGGUAGGAGUUGUGCCAUGGAUACCAGAAAAGCAGCACCUCACACUUCUUAUCUGUUCUCUCAGUUCCAAAGAGUAGGACUGAAGCAAACCCUACAGCAUUUCUAGUGGGCAAUCAACAGAUGAGUUCCCUACACAAUCAGGUAAGUUCAGCUGGAAAGCAGCAGCCAGCUGGAAAGCAGCAGCUUCUGACCAGUGCAGUGGAGUCUUGUGCUUUGGACUCGCACUCAGAGAUGUCCCAGAGCUCAUUCUGUGGCAGGUGCUGAGUCCAGAGCAGCUGCAUUGCAUGGUGCAGGAACCCCCAACAAUGC